rnacentral:rRNA from 1 species
UACGGAGGGGACUAGCGUUGUUCGGAAUUACUGGGCGUAAAGCGCACGUAGGCGGUUUUGUAAGUCAGGGGUGAAAUCCCGGGGCUCAACCUCGGAACUGCCUUUAAUACUGCAAAUCUCGAGUCCGGAAGAGGUGAGUGGAAUUCCUAGUGUAGAGGUGAAAUUCGUAGAUAUUAGGAAGAACACCAGUGGCGAAGGCGGCUCACUGGUCCGGUACUGACGCUGAGGUGCGAAAGCGUGGGGAGCAAACAGG